GAGGCAGGUCAGUUAAAGCGGCCUCAGACUCAGUUACGAAAGAGGGAGGUGCCUCCCAGGCAGGAAGGGAAGAGGCUCCUCUCUCUGCCAGUUUUCACGUUGGCUUUAAGAUCCCGCAGCCACUGCCUGGGAUUAGUUUACUCCGUCCUUGCUGAAAACAAGACGGAGCACAUGUGAGAAAGGAUGAGAGAUGGCUAUCUUCAGCAGGUCAAGGAACUGUGUUUUCAUUCAUCUGACGUCUUUGACCAAUUGGCAGAAGUGCUUUAAUCCUUGCACAUUUUCCAUUGAAGCCUUGAACGGACACCAGUAUUAUGUAACUAAAUGCCAGCCAUGGAAUAAAAAUGCCAGCAUAAAAUAUUACCUCAUGACAGAUAGUUCCAGCAUUUAUAGAAAUGUCAUUGAUAAAAAUCAAAAGUGUUUUUUGAAUCCUAAGCAUGAAGAACUAUGCAGAGUUGCACAGAGCUGUUCUAGAAGGCCUUUUGCUUUCCUUCAGCAACAGGUGAGAAAAAAUGAAGUAUUGUUGGGACGACUUCCCUCUCAGACGUUAUGCAGCAUUGCCACAGUUCACAAUGUCCAGAUCUUCAGGCCUUUUCAUGGGUCACCAGCACUGAAGGCUGCUCCAGUUCCACUCCUGUGGGUCAUCUUGAAGCCAGUUCAGAAACUUCUUGCUAUCAUCCUGGGGAGGAGCAUAAGAAAAUGGUGGGCUGCACUUCCCCCAAACAAGAAGGAGUUAUUUAAAGAAGCUGCAAGAAGAAAUAAAUGGAAGAUAGCCCUUAGUCUAUGUAGCUUUGGAGUUUUAUUUAUCAUGUUUUAUUUUACCCAUUUGGAGGAGACGCCAAUCACUGGACGUUCUCGGCUUCUGGUGUUUGGGAAGGAACAUUUUGUUGAAUUGUCCCAGAUUGAGUAUAACAUGUGGCUAGAAGAGUUUAAAAACAAAAUGUUGCCAGAAACAGACCCUCAUUACCAGGUGGUCAAAAAAGCUGUUAUUCACCUGUCUGAAAGCAACAAAGAUGUCCCACAGGUCUCUGAAUUCAAAUGGAUGAUCCACGUGGUGGAAGAUCCAGGCAUUAAUGCUUUUGUACUUCCUAAUGGUGAAAUUUUUGUUUUCACUGGUAUGUUGACAGCAGUGUCAGAUAUCAAUCAGCUGUCUUUCAUUUUGGGACAUGAAAUUGCUCAUGCUGUUUUGGGACAUGCUGCAGAGAAGGCAAGCCUGGAGCAUUUCUUGGAUUUCCUGUCACUCAUCCUUCUCACAAUGAUAUGGGCUGUCUGUCCUCGAGACAGUUUGGCAAUUAUAGGCCAGUGGAUCCAGGCCAGGUUUCAGGAGUUGCUGUUUGAUAGGCCCUAUAGCAGGACAUUAGAAGCCGAAGCUGACAAGGUUGGACUUCAGUUUGCAGCUAAGGCUUGUAUGGAUGUAAGGGCAAGUUCUGUAUUCUGGAAGCAAAUGGAACUACUUGAGACUGUUCAGGGGCAACCAAAAUUGCCACAAUGGCUUUCUACUCACCCCUCACAUGAGAAUCGAGUUGAACAUUUGGACAGACUUAUACCAGAGGCACUUAAAAUAAGGGAACUCUGCAACUGCCCUAAGUUGUCUGGUCAGGAUCCACGCCUUAUUUUCAAACUGAGCAUGCAGCACCUCUUGCAAGCAUCUGAAGACAAGAAAGCCUCAAAUGCCACUCAUCAUGGUCUUGACAAAACAAAAGUGAAUCUUCCUUACAUGAAAAAAGAAAAGAUGCCUGUAGACGUUGUAGCUGGAGAACUUUCAAGUGUUCUGGAAAUUAUGCCAAAUAAAUAAAUAAUAAGUCCUAAGCUGGAAUGUUAACAGAAGACACAGAAUGGAAAAGGUUGUGGUAUUACAAGAAGACGAAGGACAGGUAUACCAAGGAAGAAAGGAAGGAGGGUGCCAGUCUAACUUCUCUGGGAAGGGAUCUCAGAGCUCAAUGGAAAGCCACUGAGAAGGCCCAAAGUAAGAUGAUAACAGGAAACACCAUGAUUUACAACGUGUUACUUGUUGACUCUAAAUUGUGUGUCCGUUCUUCCUCACCUAAUGAUUGUAACAGGGUCCAGCCAAAUCCAAGCUAUGAUUAAAACAAAGUGUUGUUUUUAUGGUGCUGCACUCAUUUUAUUCUUCAUUUUAAAUUAAUAUUUUUAAAUGGUUCUAAUUCUGUUGUUAGUUCUAUACCUCUUUAAUCUCACCUUAAAUAUGCUUUAACCAAAAGUGUUUUUACUUUAAUUUUCUGACCUGAGUCCCAGAUUGGAAAAAAAGAUGAUGUAUAAAUAAAAGGAUCGAUGGGUAAUGUUGGUCAUUUUUGAGAAUAUACCACGUUUUAUAAUCAAGUACUGAAAAUAUAUUUGAGGAAUCAUGCUACUGUGUCC